UGGGGAAUAUUGGACAAUGGGCGAAAGCCUGAUCCAGCGACGCCGCGUGGGUGAAGAAGACCCGCGGGUUGUAAAGCCCUUUCGGUGGGGAAGAAAAGCCUCGAGCUAAUAUCUCGGGGUCUUGACGUAACCCAUAGAAGAAGCACCGGCUAACUCUGUGCCAGCAGCCGCGGUAAUACAGAGGGUGCGAGCGUUAAUCGGAAUUACUGGGCGUAAAGCGCGCGUAGGCGGCUUUGCAAGUCGGGUGUGAAAUCCCCAGGCUUAACCUGGGAACUGCAUUCGAGACUGCAUUGCUAGAGUAUGGGAGAGGGAAGUGGAAUUUCCGGUGUAGCGGUGAAAUGCGUAGAUAUCGGAAGGAACAUCAGUGGCGAAAGCGACUUCCUGGACCAAUACUGACGCUCAUGUGCGAAAGCGUGGGGAGCAAACAGGAUUAGAUACCCUGGUAGUCCACGCCAUAAACGAUGAGAACUGGAUGUCGGGAGGGUCUGCCUCUCGGUGUCGUAGCUAACGCGUUAAGUUCUCCGCCUGGGGAGUACGGCCGCAAGGUUGC
rnacentral:rRNA from 1 species